rnacentral:rRNA from 1 species
UGGGGAAUAUUGCACAAUGGGCGCAAGCCUGAUGCAGCCAUGCCGCGUGUAUGAAGAAGGCCUUCGGGUUGUAAAGUACUUUCAGCGGGGAGGAAGGCGAUAAGGUUAAUAACCUUGUCGAUUGACGUUACCCGCAGAAGAAGCACCGGCUAACUCCGUGCCAGCAGCCGCGGAAAUACGGAGGGUGCAAUCGUUAAUCGGAAUUACUGGGCGUAAAGCGCACGCAGGCGGUCUGUCAAGUCGGAUGUGAAAUCCCCGGGCUCAACCUGGGAACUGCAUUCGAAACUGGCAGGCUAGAGUCUUGUAGAGGGGGGUAGAAUUCCAGGUGUAGCGGUGAAAUGCGUAGAGAUCUGGAGGAAUACCGGUGGCGAAGGCGGCCCCCUGGACAAAGACUGACGCUCAGGUGCGAAAGCGUGGGGAGCAAACA